UCAAAUUUAUCUUACAAUUUACUUUAAAAUUUAUAUUAUGUCAAUUUUCAAAAAUCUAACAAUCUACUCCUACAACAUUCCUGGCCUACUUUCAAAAACAACUAUACUUAGGAAACUCCUUGAUCAAUAUGAUAUUAACAUUAUUUUAACACAAGAAUCUCUUAUUACCAAUAAUAUUUAAAAAAAAAAGAGAAAACAAAACAAAAAAAAUAAAUAAAUAAAUUACAAAAACUAAUUCUUCUUCCUCUUUACUCCUUAAUCACCCCCCCCCCCCUUUUUCUAAUACAUAUUCCUAUCUUAUCUUUUUUAAUAAAUAAACAUUAUUUACAAUGUGGAUCCUGGCUUAUCCACGAGUGGUACCUGUCAUCCCACUCAAAUUAAACGGGACCCUGUCAGUAGGGUAAAUUACUGUCAACUUUGUGGAUCCUGGCUUAUCCACGAGUGGUACCUGUCAUCCCACUCAAAUUAAACAGGGCCCAGACAGUAGGGUAAAUUUUCUGCCAAACAGUGAAUGCAAAUUCACUGCACUGGAGACGCCCUCUAUGGGGUGGUGGAGUGCCCACUUAAUUGUGGGAUGUCUCCCCAGUGUAUAAUAUGAUAUGAUUAUGAACUCAAAUUAUAAUGAUAUAUAUGACUUCCUAAAAUGUUCUAACACCGCCUUCAAGAUUAUAGAAAAUCAAUUAUUCUAUGGGGAAAAAGAAAGAAAAGUUAUAAUGACAGGAGAUGAACAAAAAAAAAUAAUUAAAACAAUACAUGAGGGGGGUGUAUCUACAGUUGCAGGUAUUGCUAUGGGAGGGCAUCUGGGGAUUAAUAAAACUAAUCAAAUAAUAGCUGAAAAAUAGUACUUCCCAAAAUGGCCUUUAUGAUGAAAUUAUUCCACUUGCUAUGGAGUUUGUUGAUCCAAACUCUCCCAGAGAUAGUAGUUCCCAAAAUGGCCUAUAUGAUGAAAUUAUUCCACUUGCUGAGAUAGUAGUUCCCAAAAUGGCCUUUAUGAUGAAAUUAUUCCACUUGCUACAGAGUUUGUUGAUCCAAAGUCUCCCAGAGCACGUGUGUUACUUAUAGAUAGUGGUUCCCAAAAUGUUGAGUUUGAAGAUAAAAAUAUUCAGCUUGACAGGGAUUUUAUCAAUCCAAAGACUCCCAUAGAAUUGGAUGAUGAUAUUUUGAUAAUAAAUAAAUUAGAAAAUAUCCCUAGAUAUUUUUUUCCUACAACAAAGGUAUGGAAAAAAUAUCAUGCUAAAAUAUAUGGUCUAAAGCCUCCCAAACGUUGUCGGGAUGUAGACUAUGGGAAACAACUUGGUGAACCCACCAUUCUGGUGCAAAUUGAAGGGCGAUUAGUGUAGAGCUUACUGGAGCUCAAAAUUACCAUGUUAUUCUCAGCCAAUGGUUGGCACAAUUUAUGCUAACAUCCGAGAUGGGAAAGGUAAUUGAAAAUUAUCUUUACGACACGAACAAAAAAAUAGACAUAAAAACUUAUGUCUUAAAUAAUGUAAUGACACAGCAGAUAUGGGCUUCUGACACAGAAGUCAGGGCGAUGGCUACAAUGUUAAAUACGGCUAUUUUUACUUAUAUAAAAUAUAAUGAUAAUUUUGUAUGGGCCCGAUGUGACCCAUUUUAUAUUCGCGACAAUAUUAAAAUAUUUAAUAAUAAUUUUAUUUAUAUAAAAAAUGG